UUAUUGCUUAUCAUCAUCACGCCUCAGUCUCCUCAGGUGUAAAAUGGGGAUUUUAAUAAUCCUCAUUACAUAGGGUUGUUGUGAGGAUUAAUGAGUUAAUGUAUGUAGAGAACUGUGUUUGGCACACUGUAUUUUUGGAAUAAUAUAUAUUAUUACUAUCAUUACCAUCAUCAUGAAUAUACCUAUAAAGGCAUUGAGAAGCAUCUGGGCAAUAUCUCUGGGUAUUGGGAUAAAAAAUAACACUUUUUAACUGUGCUUCUCUGUUUUAUACAAGUUACGUGCAAGGGGCAUAUAUGAGUUUUGUGACUGGAGGGCAUUUAUUAAUUUGAGAUGAUCAUUUAUUUGUAGUGACACAGGCUGCGUACCUGGCAGCUCAUCACCGCCAGGGCACCAUGCCAUGCUUUGCAGUGACGGAGUAUUUAACCAGCACCCAGACUGGCAGGAAUCUCGCAGCUCUGGGGAAAUAGCAAUCUGAGUAUUAAUACCUGAGAACUGCAAUGCAUAAAUGCUACAGGUAACCUACUCUUUUGGAAGUUGAGACGCUCUGAAAAAUUGCUUCCAGUGGCUGAGCACAAGGAAACCUGAUUUCUUGGUAUGCGUGUUUCUCCUCCCAUGCUAAUAGUACUUGCACAACCACAGCGUGGAACUUCCAGAUUUCACAUCACACUCUUUCUGUGCUCAGAGUUUCCAAGCUGUCUCCUAUUCAGAUACCUAGCUAUUUUCCCUAUAAGCAUUAUACAGCACUUUAUUUUCACUGACCCACAUCUCUGUUUUUCUAAUGAAGUGCUAAGCCUGACUUGACCACCCUUGAGUCAAGCAUUAUCAAGGAUGAGAAUGUAACGUGACAUAAAGCGAGGACAGUCAGAGGGACGCAUAGCCGGACUGCUGAUGGCAUUCACAGUGAUGAAGGGCCCUGGCGCUCCCUGGCUUUUCAGGGAGGAGAGGACAGAAAGCAUUUCAGUCUCCCGGCCCAGUAACAGGCAGGUGGGUGGUAAGCACUUUUUAAUAAUCACUGUGAAUUUGCAAAAUACACCGUCUGCAAAUUAGUGUUAUCAGCAGCUCCUUACUGUUACGCGAAGUACAUUGUAUUUUAGCUCAGCAGAAACUCAGGGGCUGCCAAGUUAAUGUUCUUAUUUAAGAUCCCCCUCAGAGCAAGCUGCACAAUGGGGCUUUUAGCCCUUCCCUGCCAUGGGUAGGUGAAGAUGGUUAACCUAAUCGUCUUUUAAACUUCAGGGGAGGGGCUGGCAGUUGUUUCUUGGUCAGGCAUGGUCACAAGGCGCCUGCUGGGAGUCUGGGGUGAAAAAUGCACCUACAGAUGUGCCCCUGAAGCAGGUCUUCCAGUGUCACUCCUGCAUUUUAUUUUCUUUGUUUUUUUAGAGAUGGGCUCUUGCUAUGUUUGUCGCCCAGGCUGGAGUGUAGCAGCUAUUCACAGGCACCAUCAUGGCACACUACAGCCUCGAACUUCUGGGCUCAUGGAAUCCUCCCACUUCAGCCUCCAGAGUAGCUGAGACUACAGCACCACUGCUGCGCUGUGACCAGGGCAGGUGUCUGCAAGACCCAGAUGAACUACUCUAUAGACCCUUGAACACUCAGCCUCCACUCAGACCCCUGCUAAGGACAGUGAGAAAUGUGUACGAAGAGAGAAGCAAGAAGGCUCCUCAACCAGAUGAGUGGAGAGGAGGGCGGCUCUAGGACUGGGCAGUCUCUCCAGACAAAGCACAAAGAAGGGAUACAGACUAAAUAAAGAGUGAGGAUUAAUAUCACCCUGCUCUAGUCCACUUCAGCUACAGAGGAGGAGAAAUAAUCCAACUGAACAUAGCUUCGUUGUAACGAACACCCAUCCUCAGAGGUGACGGACAAGAGAGGAUGGAGG